AUUCGGUUGAUGAGUCCCAAAUAGGAUGAAACGCGCGUCCUCUAU
rnacentral:hammerhead_ribozyme from 1 species